UGGAUUGUUUUCAGUAUUAAUAUGUUGGUAGAUGAGCAGUUUUCUUUACCAGCCCUGCACUCUUGCAGUUACUUUGAAUGGUCCUGCUCUGUUCAGCACAUUAAGACAUGGUGUGAUUUCAAGCUCUUGCCUGAAAAGGCAGCUGACAGCAGCAGCUGGUCAAGACUUGGUUCAUCAUUUGACUGCAGAAUAAAACCCAACAAAAUCUGUCUGAUUCCUUCCCUUUCUCUCAGGAUCUGGGCUGUUCCUACUGGUAGCUUUGUAGAACUGGUUAACCACCUCCCCUCUCAAACCUACUUCCUGUAAAGUGAAGUCUUCAAUUUAAAAACUAUCGGCAUAUAUAAGAAUUAAGAUGCUUUCAGAAGAAUCCACCUCAUGCUACAAAGACGACUUAAGGGGAUGGUACCUAUUGGUGGUGCUCUCCUCAGUGGAGGGUAUAAAGGUUGGUUGUGGCAGUUUGUGUAUGUAGCGCUUUAAUUUCUUUACCUGUAUUGCAAAUUCAUUUAUUAAAGAAAAACAUCUGGUAAGAGUUACAUGAAAUCAAGUUCCACAUGAUUCAUCCCUAUGUGCUGUAUCUAUUUUACUGUGUGAAGAGGCAGCAGUGAUCUCAGGUGAAGUAGUUUGGGUUGGUUUUUUUGCCCAAAAUGCCCUUUUUUGUGUGUGUGACUACAGACCUUUAUGGUACUUUAUUACUGCUUUUUCCACUCAAGAGAAAUAUUCAGCCAGCUGCAGUGGGAUGGGAUGGGGCAGAGCCUUCCCAAAGGAAGUGAGGAGUUACUUACCUGCAUUCAGUUAUUAGUAAAACAGUGCUGGUCCUACAGACUGUUAAUAUCGGUGUAAGGUGUCUCUAGAAUAGAGCUAUGGGGCCUCUUCUAGGGAGCAGUGUAGCCUUUCUUCCUCUCCUGUGUUGCAAGGAGGAGUAUGAUGAGAUCAGUAGAAGAAUGGAAUCUUCAGCUUUUUUUAUGCAGGUGCCUUCUACGGGAAGAAAUCCAGCAGUCAUUACAAGGACUGAGUGUAUCUCUAAAAUGAGCUUUGCAAACUGUUGUAAUAAAGGUCAGCAAAUGGCACUUCUGGCUAAAGUGACAAA